CCUACGGGAGACAGCAGUGGGGAAUAUUGCUCAAUGGGCGAAAGCCUGAAGCAGCAACGCCGCGUGCAGGAAGAAGGUUUUCGGAUUGUAAACUUCUUUUGUUAGGGAGGAUAAUGCCGGUAUCUCACAAUUAAGCACCGGCUAACGCCGUGCCCGCAGCCGCGGUAAUACGGAGGGUGCAAGCGUUAUCCGGAAUCACUGGGCGUAAAGAGCGCGUAGGCGGGAUAGUAAGUCAGAUGUGAAAUCCUAUGGCUUAACCACAGAACUGCAUUUGAAACUGUUAUGCUAGAGUAUGGGAGAGGUAGGCGGAAUUCUUGGUGUAGGGGUAAAAUGCGUAGAGAUCAAGAAGAACACUCAUUGCGAAGGCGACUUGCUAGAAUACAACUGACGCUGAGGCGCGAAAGCGUGGGGAGCAAACAGGAUUAGAUACCCCAGUAGUC
rnacentral:rRNA from 1 species